GCCUGGCUGCGGGGAGUGGGUGCGGCGGGAGUUGGGGUGAUCGUUAACAUUUAGACUGGAGCUGUUUCCCUGGAGGUGCGCCCUUGGGAAGGGCCUGACUGUGUGAAGAGUGGACAGCAGUCCUCCGCCCCCUGCUGGGCUCGCGGUAAAGUGGUGGCUCCUGUGUCCCCGCUGUUCCGCCUGUGCACUGGCCAACUUUUUAAAGCCAUGCCCCAAAGUGCUGUCCUCCUGCAAAACCGAGCCCGAAGGGACAGUGCAAAGUGAAGUCAAACUGAGUAUUUACCUGGAGAUGUAGCCUAAGAAAAUAAUCAGAUGCACCCAAAGAGCUUUGCACAAGGAUAUUCAUGGGAGCCCUUAUGGUUUUGAAGCAUAUUUAGUGGUCUGGAAGAGUGCUCAUAAUGCGAAGCUAACUGAACUAUAUAUACAGAAUGAUCCAGACUUUGAAAGGAAAAACUAAAGAAAUACAUCUACAUAUUAAGUAGUGCAUGGCCCCAGAUGAGACCACCCUAAAGGAGCUGGCCGAGACCCUGCAACAGAAGAACAUUGACCACAUGCUGUGGCUUGAGCAACCAGAGAAUAUCGCCACUUGUAUUGCUCUCCGGCCCUACCCCAAGGAAGAAGUGGGCCAGUAUUUGAAGAAGUUCCGAUUGUUCAAAUAACUGCUGCUUUGAUGUGUUUGAAUACCAGCUGGAUCUGGAAACAGCAGGCCACCCAUUCCAAAGCAUCAUGUGUUCCUUGCAGUGUCAGCUUGCUCCCGUCUUUCAGUUGUGACAAUUUCUUGAGGGUUAAGCACAUGUUCAUAUUAAAGUUGUCAUUAAUAACUACUUCCUCUUAUUAGUAAGUUCAAGUGGGGAAGGUGGGAGAGCAGUAUUGUCUGGGGAUC
rnacentral:sRNA from 1 species